GCCGGACGCCAGGCCACUGCUUUGUCGCUCACGGUCCAUUUAGCUAACAUAGGUCAGCUAGGUGGGAAUGAGUUAAGUCUUACCAUCAGAAAUAAGACUGGGACCUGAACUAAAUAGUUGUUUCAACUUCAUUCGAGAAUGUUACUAUCUAGAACCGCUAAGUUUAGACAAAAUGGCGAAAGUGAAACUGGCUGCACCAGGAAGAUUGCAGGGAGCCGGGCAGACAUUGCAGAUGCUUUCACUUUCAGCGCUGAGGCUGAACCGAGUCUUGCAGGAAAUCUCCCGGAGCUACACACUGAGACCCCCUGGUAGCCAGGUCUUUAAAAAAAUUUGGCUUUGGGAACUGGAGAGAUGGCUCAGCGGUUAAGAGCACCCACUGCCCUUCUGAAGGUCCUGAGUUCAAAUCCCAGCAACCACAUGGUGGCUCACAACCAUCCAUAAUGAGAUCUGACUCCCUCUUCUGGAGUGUCUGAAGACAGCUACAGUGUACUUAUAUAUAAUAAAUAAAUAAAUAAUUUAAAAAUA